CAGCAGCCACGGUAAUACGAAGGGGGCAAGCGUUGUUCGGAAUUAUUGGGCGUAAAGGGAGCGUAGGCGGUUUUGUAAGUCGUGUGUGAAAUCUUCGGGCUCAACCCGAAAUCUGCACACGAAACUGCAGGGCUUGAGUAUGGAAGAGGUGAGUGGAAUUCCGAGUGUAGAGGUGAAAUUCGUAGAUAUUCGGAAGAACACCAGUGGCGAAGGCGGCUUACUGGCUCAUUCUAGACGCUGAGGUGCGAAAGCGUGGGGAGUAAACAGGAUUAGAUACCCCCGUAGUCCCUGUCUCUUAUAC
rnacentral:rRNA from 1 species